rnacentral:rRNA from 1 species
CCUACGGGUGGCAGCAGUGGGGAAUAUUGCACAAUGGGGGAAACCCUGAUGCAGCAACGCCGCGUGAGUGAAGAAGUAUUUCGGUAUGUAAAGCUCUAUCAGCAGGGAAGAAAAUGACGGUACCUGAAUAAGAAGACCCGGCUAACUACGUGCCAGCAGCCGCGGUAAUACGGAGGGGGCAAGCGUUAUCCGGAUUUACUGGGUGUAAAGGGAGCGCAGACGGCAGUGCAAGGCUGGAGUGAAAGCCCGGGGACCAACCCCGGAACUGCUCUUGGAACUGUGCGGCUAGAGUACUGGAGUGGCAGGCGGAAUUCCUAGUGUAGCGGUGAAUUGCGUAGAUAUUAGGAGGACCACCAGUGGCGCAGGCGGCCUGCUGGACAGUAACUGCCGUUGAGGCUCGAAAGCGUGGGGAGCAAACAGGAUUAGCUACCCUUGUAGUC